rnacentral:rRNA from 1 species
GAUGAACGCUGGCGGCGUGCAUAACACAUUCAAGUCGAACGGAGACGGGGCUUCGGCCCCUGAUCAGUGGCGGACGGGUGAGUAACGCGUGAGUAACCUGCCUAUACGUGUGGAAUGACACAGGGAAACUUGUGCUAAUACCGCAUAACAUGUAAUGAUCGCAUGAUUGAUACAUCAAAGAGCAAUUGCGUAUAGAUGGACUCGCGUCUGAUUAGCUAGUUGGUGGGGCAACGGCCUACCAAGGCGACGAUCAGUAGCCGAACUGAGAGGUUGAACGGCCACAUUGGAACUGAGAAACGGUCCAGACUCCUACGGGAGGCAGCAGUGGGGAAUAUUGGGCAAUGGACGAAAGUCUGACCCAGCGACGCCGCGUGAGGGAAGAAGGUCUUCGGAUUGUAAACCUCUGUUGUAAGGGAAGAAGAAAGUGACGGUACCUUACGAGGAAGCCACGGCUAACUACGUG